AGAGCAUGACACGUCAGCGUGCUGAUCAUUUGGGCUUUGCCUCUCGCGUUCGUAUUCAAGGCCCAUAUGUAUUUGUCGUCUUCGCUCCCUUCGAACGGCGAUGAGGCGAUACAGUUCCCGUAACGGUGAGCUUGAGCUUUAAUCGUCUUUAAUUGUCUUCAAUUUCAGAUCUGUUCGUCGGCGUAAUCUGUUAUAAAUAUCCAAAGAUCUCACCUCUGCGAAUUGCACUCUACACAUCUGACUCGGAGGAGGAGCUGAAAUAAGCAUUCAGGGUUUUCGACAAAGACUAGAACGGUUUCAUCUCCACUGCUGAGCUGUGCCAUGUGAUGACUAAUCUUGGUGAGAAGCUAUCUGAUGAGGAAGUGGAAGAGAUGAUCCGUGAAGCUGAUGUUGAUGGAGAUGGUCGACUUAGCGGUUUCGAUGUAAAUCAGCAUGUCGUCCCUCUCGCAGAUGUUAGUAGAUAAGCAAGAAAGACAAUUCUUCUAGAAAUUCAUUCCCUUGCCAGAUAGACUUUAAGUGCUGACAGCUAUUCGGAAUUUGUGAGCGUGAAAUAAGCAUAGCUAAAGCACUUCUUAAGAUUCAGCGGUAGACACUUAUCGUGCACUGUUUCGAGAAAGAACUCCCAUGGAGUUUCAACUCAUCUUGGAACUCAAGGUGAUUUUAAUUCUCAGAUUCUCUAAAAACCAAUUAGCUUUAAGGCAGAGUCAUGUCAACUAUAUCAUUUAUUUGAAAGUCAUUUUACAUGACCACGUUUCUGAGUCUAGAUAAAAAGGACCAUAGCACCAUCUUUAACACAUAGAUAUGUGAAGAGAUUUGGAUUGCCGGACACUAACUCUGAAACAUUUUGUGUCGAUGCAUUGUCUUGAGAAAGCUGAUCAGCAGACCAUACUUAUCGAGGGAGCAGCUCUUGGCAGAUGAGCUGCAACCUCUUACUUUAAUAACUUCACUGCACUUUCUGAAGCAGCCAAAGACCUCAAAGAUGGAAGUUUAUCACAGUGAAUGCACUCAUUCUCUCUCUCUGUCUCUUUUAAUAGGACAAACAAGCUUUCUUCACCUGGCUUAGACCAGGUUUAUCAGCGACUGCUGUAGCCUGUAGGAGCUUGAAAGCUCCAUCUCUUGAGUUUCCAGAAUACAUCAAACAGAGAGGAUAUGAUUUCCAUGAACUUCAAGCAUAUUUGAAGUUUAUGGAGUCCUGAAACGUGAACCGGACAUGGUGGAGAAAGAAAAGGAUGAAUUCAUAUCUGACUUAUCCAAAAUGAGUAUCUUCAUUUUUUUUUUUUAUCACGAACUUUCACUCUCUUUUUAUAAACAUAAAUGUUUGACAACGUUCGAAGCUGUAUCAAACAUUAAAAAUUUGGUCAAAGCAGUACAGUCUCCCAUAAAAGACUAUCAGGUUGAUGAGCGCAAGAACGAGACGCCUAAGAAACUAGCUAUAAUCGUGCCGAGCUUGGCAUCGAUUUAGGAGAUGAGGACUUUGUUUCCGAAGAAUAUUCUCAGUGAAGAUGCCUCAAGCAUGGAGAAAAGAUCAACUAAUUAAACAGGGAUAAGAGGAAGCUAACAACAAAACUCCAUUCUUGGAAGUAAACAUAUGAUUGAUUAGAUAAAAGAGGUGUCCGCUCUGGCAGUUGAGUUCAUCAACUGGAUGAGUUUAGCAAAGUAUGAGUGUGUAAAGGUGACAUAUGACUGUUGUACGCAAUCUUAUUUUGUUCUGGUUUAGUUCGUUGACUAUGGACCGGUUCAAUUUGGUUAACCUUCUCAUCUGAGGAAACCAAAUAUGAAAAAGAAAAGUAAACAGAGAGACCAACAAAAACAGACUAGACUUUGUUUGCUUUUCAGGAAAACAUAAUAAAGUCAAAAGUAAGCACUA